rnacentral:tRNA from 2 species
GCCCGGGUGGUGGAACGGCAGACACGUCGGUCUCAAAAACCGAUGCCGAAAGGUGUGCGGGUUCAAAUCCCGCCCCGGGCACCA